CGCGCAUGUGCAUUGUCCGCUUGGCAACACACAGAUCAUGGAAGGCUUGCAGGCUGUAACGUGUUGUAUAUGGUGAUUUUAGUUCUGCAAAGUGCACAGAUGUAAUACUACAUACGGAAUGGCUUCACUUUACAUCCCCCAAAAGGUUUAAUUUCUGCAGACCUUGGUCUUGGAUCUUGAUUAGUCGUGAGUUUUGGGCCCAGCAGAUAUAAGGACUUCAUGGAAUUUAGCAGAGACGAGCUGAUGAUGAGUACUUCAUAAAAGCACGAGGGCAAAACAAUAACUUAUACAGAUAAACAAGUACAUCCCAUCGAGACGACCCCCCAUCUACCAGCCACCUGUGGGCAGCUUGCUCAAUAUUUAUGGACUGAUAUAAACCCCACCGCUUUUCUUCUGUACACAAUCUAGUUUACCUGUUCAGUGUGCUACCAAAGAGUUAGAGGGUACUUCCUGGGGCUAUCCUGGCUCUCCAACCAUUCGCAAUCUUUAUUAGCAAACUACAUGGCAAUUAUUGAUGACUGACACAAAUGGAAAAAGUGUAUGGUUGAAAAACUGACUUAUUUUAAGCAUGUCCAAGACAACUAAUAUAUAGAAAGAGUUAGCACUAUUACAUACAGUUUUACCCAAACCCUUAAACAUUAAUUGUAGUAUUAUCCCAGAUGUUAAAAAGUAAGGUAAGAUCAUACAAUAGACUCUGGCGAUAAUCUCGAUUUUACAGUGCAAAUAGAAUGAUCAGCAUAACAAUUUACUUGUUCAGGGGAACAUGACCCUUAUUUAAACAAGUAAAGCUUUUAACUGCUUGCCAACUCUUUGUGAUUAAUUUUGUUUAAUUCUGCUCGUUUCAUUUGCAAUUCAAACUACUUUUUUUAUUUAAUUAAUUUUUUUUUUCUAUGAAAAUUAGAUUUUUAUGUCAAAUUAUUAUUUUGUUUUAUCAUUGAACUAAGGUUGUUAUAGUUAUGAGUGCAUGAAUGAAAUGAAAGAACGUAUUUGUUUUGAUUAAUGAAUCAUAUGUAUUUAACAAAUGAUUUUUUUUUUUAGCUGGUAAAAGUGUAACAUGCUAGAAACAGAUAAUCAUAAAUCAUGAAAAUCAUCAUUUUUCAAAGCAUUCCUCAUUUUGCAACAAAAACAAAAUUCCGUGGCUCUCUCAUUCUCUUAGAGCUAAGAUUGAUCUUAUGUGCGAGUCAAUCUUAAAUACUGAGCAAAGUGGACAUAACUAUGAAUGAUUUAAUAUAAUUUGUUUAAAACCAGUGAGGCACUUCGUAUGAAGCUCUUUAUAAAUGAAUAGUUUAUUAUGAUGAUUAGUAAUAUUAUCAUUAUUAGUAGAUAUGUGAAACAUGCCUAGUGGCAAAACAAUCUAGUAUGAAGGUCUGCUGCAGUUUCAUGAAAACAGAUUAGUGUGAGAACAUGCUUAUAUGUUUUUAAUGAGUAAUUAAUUUGUCAGUUCUUCACCAAAACUCAGUGUGAUAUUUUUGUAUGGUGUAUUAGCCAACAUCUUGAAAUAAUAAAAAAAAUAACUUGUAACUGUUUUCGUGAUCAACUUAAUUGAUUAUUUAACAAAUUUUUCCAAUCCUAAUAUAAUAUUUAUUCUAUGAUUAAUUUGUUGUGUUUAUCCAAUAAAAAAACACCCAGAAGCACAGCAUUGUG